CGCCCUGCUCCUCUAGGUCCCAGGCGCGCUGCGAAGCUUUUGCCGCCGGGUGAGCGGCCCGGGGCCUGAGGUCGCCCAGACGUCGGAGGAGCCGGGUCACGAGACUGGAGUCCGGCCGGGCGGUUCUGGAGCCUCCCGCCUGCGGAGUGCGGCCGGGGAGGCGCGGCCCGGGCACGCCAGAUCCUGGGGAGAUCUGCCUGCUGGAGACUGCACCGUCCUCAGGGGAGAGCCCGGAGAGGACAUGGCUGCGGGGCGGCGGGAAGCGAGGCCCCAGGUGUCACUGACGUUCGAGGACGUGGCCGUGCUCUUCAGCCGGGAUGAGUGGAGAAAGCUGGCUCCUUCUCAGAGAAACUUGUACCGGGAUGUGAUGCUGGAGAACUACAGGAACCUGGUCUCGCUGGGACUCCCAUUUACCAAACCAAAAGUGAUCUCUCUGUUGCAGCAAGGAGAAGAUCCCUGGAAGGUGGAGAAAGACAGUUCUGUUGACUCCUCUCUGGGAUGUAAGAGCACGCCUAAAAUGACAAAGUCAGCUCAAACUCAGGAUUCAUUUCAGGAGCAGAUGAGGAAAAGACUGAAAAGGGUUGAACCCUGGAACUUCAUACCAGAAAGACCUUGCAUAUAUGAAGAGAAAUUAAAGAAACAGCAGGACAAAAACGAAAAUUUACAAAUAUUUUCAGUUGCCCAUACAAAAAUCCUUACUGUAGAUAGAAGCCAUACAAAUGUUGAAUUUGGCCAAAACUUCUACCUGAAAUCAGUCUUCAUUAAGCAACAGAGAUUUGCUAGAGAAAAAACUCCAUCAAAAUGUGAAAUACAAAGAAAUAGUUUCAAGCAGAAUUCAAAUUUACUUAACCAAUCAAAAAUCAAAACAGCAGAGAAACGCUAUAAAUGUAGUACAUGUGAAAAAUCCUUCAUUCACAAUUCAUCCCUUCGUAAACAUCAGAAAAACCACACUGGAGAAAAAUUAUUUAAAUGUAAAGAAUGUUUAAAAGCUUUCAGCCAAAGUUCCGCUCUGAUUCAGCAUCAAAGAACUCACACAGGAGAGAAACCCUAUAUAUGUAAAGAAUGUGGGAAAGCCUUCAGCCAUAGUGCAUCCCUUUGUAAGCAUCUAAGAACCCAUACUGUGGAGAAAUGCUAUAGAUGUAAAGAAUGUGGUAAAUCCUUCAGCCGAAGGUCUGGGCUUUUUAUACAUCAAAAAAUCCAUGCUCAAGGAAAUCCUAAUAAAUAUAAUCCAGGUAGGAAGGCAUCUAGUUGCAGCACAUCCCUUUCUGGAAGUCAGAAAAUUCAUCUCAGAAAGAAGUCCUACUUAUGUAAUGAAUGUGGCAACACCUUUAAGUCUAGCUCAUCCCUUCGUUAUCAUCAGAGAAUUCACACUGGAGAGAAACCUUUCAAAUGUAGUGAAUGUGGGAGAGCCUUCAGCCAGAGUGCGUCUCUUAUUCAACAUGAAAGAAUUCACACUGGAGAAAAGCCCUAUCGAUGCAAUGAAUGUGGGAAAGGCUUUACUUCUAUUUCACGACUUAAUAGACACCGAAUAAUUCAUACUGGAGAGAAACUGUAUACUUGUAAUGAAUGUGGUAAAGCCUUAAGUUCCCACUCAACACUUAUUAUUCAUGAGCGAAUUCAUACUGGAGAGAAACCCUGUAAAUGUAAAGUAUGUGGAAAAGCCUUCAGACAGAGUUCAGCUCUCAUUCAACAUCAGAGAAUGCAUACUGGAGAAAGACCCUAUAAAUGUAAUGAGUGUGGGAAAACUUUCAGGUGUAACUCAUCACUUAGUAAUCACCAGAGAAUUCAUACUGGAGAGAAACCAUAUCGAUGUGUAGAAUGUGGGAUGUCUUUUGGCCAAAGUGCAGCUCUGAUUCAACAUCAGAGGAUUCAUACAGGAGAAAAACCCUUUAAGUGUAAUACAUGUGGAAAAACUUUUAGACAAAGCUCAUCACUUAUUGCACAUCAAAGAAUUCAUACUGGAGAGAAACCCUAUGAAUGUAAUGCAUGUGGGAAACUCUUUAGCCAGAGGUCAUCCCUCACGAAUCAUUAUAAAAUUCAUACUGAAGAGGACUCCUUAAAAGCCGAUAUGCAUGUGUGAAAACCUUAAACCAAAGCUCAUCAGAGAAUACAUGCUUGAGAGUGAUUUAUUAAAUAUAAUGACUAUGAGAAAACGUGUACUUCUCACCAGAUACUAAGUUUUAAGAAUAAACUUUAGCUAUAUAAUAACUAUCGGGAAAGCUUUUAUGCUUGUCAGUUUUUAAAAUAUCCCAAGACAGUUCACUGUUGCAGACAUUGAAAUUGGCCAUUUGUAAGAUAAAAGAAUACAAAUGGAGAGAUUUGCAUGGGAUGCAGAAAUAUGGAAGACUAACCAAGCAAACCAGGAGAGACCAGCAAUAGUGUCCCAGAGACCAUGAUGUCUGAGCCCAGUUUUGGAAGAAUAGUAGGUAUUCUUCAUAAAGUGAGAUUCUAAAUAGAGAGAACCGCAUAUGCAAAGGUAUAGGGUGGGUGGGUAACAGCAUACUACAUUUGUAGAGAAUAUAGGAAGUAAUGAAAAAAGAUACUGAAGCUUGAGAAGAAGGCAGUGGCUAGGUAACAAAAGGUCUUACUUGCCAAACUAAGGAAUUUGAAUUUUAUUCUGAAAUUUAGGGUACCAAGUAUCGAUUUUAAGUAAUGGAACCUGUAUUGCAUGAAUGUGUAGAAGAUGAAUUUAGGAGAUUGAAGAUUGCUGAACAGACUGAAGCCUAGAAUUCAGCCUCCAGUGAUGAGUGAAGGAGGCUCUAAGCUUAAGCAAGGAUAGUCAGUAAAGAAUAUGUUGCACAUGCUAAUGUAGUAAGAAUAGAUAGGGCAUAGUUUUUGAAAUCAAAUAAUUGGGGAAGGUGAUUGACACACAGGGUAGAUUAACUGCUAGGUUUGUGCCUUAGUUACCUGGAUAGACGGUGGUGUGAUAUGCCUUGUAGGCAAUAUAGGGGUAAACAGUUUGAUUUUAUACAUGUUAAAUUAGUCAUCCAAACCCAAAAGGUCAAUUUGAGCUGGAUGGCUUGAGUUAGGAGUACUUAAGAUAUAGUUAGUAGUGAAAAGCUUGGCACAUGUAAAUUGACCAUGAGAAUGUAUAGAUUAGAAUGAGAAAGGGAUCAUGGGUACAACCCAGGAAAACAUCAAUAUACAAGAAGUAGAUGAAGGAAUUGUGCAAAGAUGAAAAGGAAUUGCCCUUUA